AUUGAACGCUGGCGGCAGGCCUAACACAUGCAAGUCGAACGGUAACAGGAAGAAGCUUGCUUCUUUGCUGACGAGUGGCGGACGGGUGAGUAAUGUCUGGGAAACUGCCUGAUGGAGGGGGAUAACUACUGGAAACGGUAGCUAAUACCGCAUAACGUCGCAAGACCAAGGAGGGGGACUUUCGGGCCCCUUGCAUUCGGUUGUGCCCAGAUGGGAUUAGCUAGUAGGUGGGGUAACGGCUCACCUAGGCGACGAUCCCUAGCUGGUCUGAGAGGAUGACCAGCCACACUGGAACUGAGACACGGUCCAGACUCCUACGGGAGGCAGCAGUGGGGAAUAUUGCACAAUGGGCGCAAGCCUGAUGCAGCCAUGCCGCGUGUAUGAAGAAGGCCUUCGGGUUGUAAAGUACUUUCAGCGGGGAGGAAGGGAGUAAAGUUAAUACCUUUGCUCAUUGACGUUACCCGCAGAAGAAGCACCGGCUAACUCCGUG
rnacentral:rRNA from 1 species